CUCUCUCUCUCUCUCUCUCUCUCUCUCUCUCUCUCUCUUUCUCCUUCAGGUGUGGGGAAUAACAGCCCACACACUCAUGUUUCUGUUUCAACUUCUCAUAAGCGCUCCCUUUGUUUGCUAUGGGAACAUUAACAUUCAGUAGCGAUUCUUGCCAUGUGGAUGCAGUAUUUAAUGGGCAAGGGAGUUUUCACCAAAAAGUAAGUUCUGAAAUUCCUCCUGAAGCCAAAACGAAAUAAGAUCCUCUACUUGGUUCCGUCAGUAGGAAUUUUGUGUGAGUGACAAGUUGUUUCAAGGAAAACUCAUUAUGAGUAUGUCUAUCUCAGAAUCGUAGAUUCUGGAGAUGCAAGGGACUUCAAGAAAUGCUCAGGUUUGGUCUUGUCAGAUAACAGCCAGAUAAGCUGCUGCGGCUGCCGCGCCACAGAGGAGACAGGUAGGUUUCGGCGCAUUUCAGGUAGCGAGCACGCCUACGUUAAAGGAUAGGGUUUGUUUGUUUGGUGCAGUUCUUGAUGUGGGAGUGGAGAGUGACUGCUGUCCACGUGGUCCUGCCUGGAUGUGACUGCCCAGAGAUCAAGGGGCUGUGUGGCAGGGAGGGGGUGGAGAACAGACCUGGAGCAAUAAGGAAGCAUGCAAGCCAGGACUGGGGGUGGGGGUGGAGGUGGGGGGGGCCGAGCCACUGAGUUCUCCUAGGAGCAGAUGUGGGGAAGGCUUGAGAUGGUUAAAAGUCAGAAGUCAAAGUGCAUCCGGAGACUGGAGCCACUUUAAGAAAGACAGGCUUUCAACAGAGCAGACCGCUUCUUUUGAGUCGGAAGAGGGGAGGGGCAUCUCUCUGGGGAUCCUGUCUGCCAGUGACUACCAAGGAGAGCCCCAGCCCAGACUUCCCCGGAUCUGCACAAAAUCUCUGCCUCUGUCCCAGUCCCAGCCUGAACCUGUCUGACCUCGUGUUUCCUGUCCAAAACGCUCCCUCUUCAAGUCCUCACCCCAGGGCAGAGCUCCUUGCUGGGUCAGUUGCCCACUUGCAGGCAGAGCCCACCUGGAGGGAGCCCUGGUUCUCUUGCUGGGGGCAAUCCUAGUUUGAAUGGCAAAUGAACAGGCAACAUCUCCUCCGUACAGCGCACGCGCUGGCUGUGUGACUCACAGUUGAUUCUGUCAAGUCAUGAGACGGAGGAGGAAGCCGUGUGGGGAAAUCCCGAAUCCUCUGCUGCCCCACUUCUUCGCACAAGCCUUACCCCUGGCGUUCUCAAAUGGAGUUGGCAGGCUUCUACCUGCAACAAGUGAGCUGCAAAGACAGCAGUGUCAAAAACCAGGUCCUUUCUCGCGGGGCAGCGUACAUACUUUAAGAGAUCUUUUACAACUGCCAGGAAUCAUUUGCUCAUAUUUUGCUCAACCAAGGGAUAGUCCCCUGCUGUCCAGAAGAAAGGCAACUUCGUAUGCAACAAAAAACUAAAGCAGGCUUGGGUGGAAUCCUCGGCGGGGAAGACGGCAGUGAGAUCAUUCCAGGGCAUAGCUUCUAGGGAUCGGUGAUUCACUUACCAAUAACACCGCGCAGGGCCACAGCACUGCCCUGCAGCUGCCUCCCUCCCCUGCAGAGUAGCCUAGGCCGCCUCGAAGGUUCCCAGGCCCCUGGCCAUGGGCUCUGUGCAGGAAGCUGGUUGUGCACUUGCACAGGCAGUGAGCGCUUGGCGAAAAUGCACCAGGCUAUCCCUCAUAAUGGGCUUCUUUGGAGCUGACGGGAGUGCACAUCUAUGGGUGGAUUCAAUAAAAUGAAGAGAGUUCUUUGCCCAUCACGUCUCCCUGGACUUUGUAACGUUCACGGUGACACAGGAGUGAGUCACCAGAGGCAGAAGUCAUCUGUGUUUGUGCUGCAGGGCUGUGUUCUGCUUGGAUUUGAUUGUGGGGGCCCGUGCCCUUGCUCUCAGAAACUCUGGUCUCAGGGAACAAAUGCCUCCGCAGACUGAUCCUCCCAGGGGCUGGGCUGGCCAAGGGAUGCCACGCCCACCUGGGACACCCCUCCUGGAGUGAGAGAGAGCUUCGGAGUGUUUGUCAGAAUCUCAGGGAUACCUUGCAUGAGGCAGCUCACAGCUAUGGUUUCCUGAGUGAGGGGUUUCCUUGUUCACCUCAUUUAUCCUCACAAGGAUCCCGUGUUCAUUUUACAAAGAGGAAACUCUCCACCUGGGAGCAGUCGCCGGAGCCAAGUGGACCUAGCUGACGGCAGGACAAAGCGUGGGACAAGAGACCAGACGCCCCAACACUGCCUGCAGCUCUAGACUUCCCCCUGGAAAAGUGCCACCAAGGGGUGGCCUGGCUGUGGCCCACCUGGGGUAGCAAGCAACUCAGCAGUGGGGAACCGUGGGUGGCAGGAAACACAGUGUGCCAGCAGUCCUGCCUGUGUUUCCCCAAGAAAAAGCUGGAAAUUUGGGUUUUUCUAUGUGGGAAAUCUACAGGUGCUUCUCCACUUAAGGUGGAGCUAUGUUCCAGUAAACCCAUUGUAAGCUGAACAUAUCGUAAGUAAAAAUGCAUCUAGCACACCAGACCCACUGAAUAUGUCAGCCUGCAGCACGGUGCCCCGGAGGACCCCGGCGACUCCCCCUCUCCAUCGUGGGGUCACCGCUGUUCAGGGACACUGGGGGAGGCGCCUACAGCAUGCUGUAGUCUGGGGAAAGAAGUAAUCCAGGAGGGGAAGUGGCAUUUUCUACUACAUGUGGACAGUUUUUGUACCAUUGUGAAAUACUGCAGGUCCAACCAUGGUAAGCCAGGCCCAUCUGUAGUUUUAAAUUUUGGCAGUUGGUUUCAAAACAAACAAAACAAAGCUAAAUCUUUAACACCCUGCAAGUGAGUUAUCACCAUUUGUGUGAGCUGACCCACAACUUCUAGGUUAAGCUAUGCCUUUAGAUAGAAAAAGCCAAAGAUGGGAGAGAACAUGACUCCGUCUUUUUUUGUUUGGUUUUUUUUUAUGAAAUAUGCUUUUUAUUAAAAUUAAAAUUCUCAAAACUUAGAACAACAUUCUAAAAAGUAGGAAUGCUCAGGUACUUUUUUGUCACUGGUGAUUUUUCAUAUUAACAAUGAUUCCUAGGCCUGGGACAAUUUAAGUGGUGAUCUGGAAUCUCGGAGAUCAUCUCCCUGAGUGUUCGAAAGGUGACUGUGUGGAGGGCAGUGUGACUUCCCUGGGGUUGUACGUGGGGAAACAGACUGACAGCAGCUCAGCGACCGCAAGGCCACCUGGCCCACCAUACAGUGCUGGGCUCACAGCCCCGCAGGGGCCAACCGGCUCUGACUGUUCUUUGCUUCAGUAAACCUUGAUUUUUGGUUUCCCCCACCAACACUAUUACAUCAAUGCCUGUUCCUCACUCCAGGCCACAUCAUUUCCUUCUGUACCAGUUCUAGUCAUUGGGUAGAAAAGAAAUCAAACAGUACUACUUAAACAAGUUCAAUGCAAAGAAAUGAAAAAAAAUUUUUAAUACAUGUAUUCCCUUCCACCACCAAAAAAAACAAACAAACAAACAAGAAAGCAGUCACAAAAUGCUCUUUAAGUGGCACUUGUUACUUGCUUGUUUUCUUAUUCAGUACAGGAGAUGUGGAUGGUUCCUAACCUGGGGUUCAGGCACUUAAGAGUGAGCCGAAGUAGGACAAUCCUGAAUCCCUUGUAAUUGUUUGCAACAUCAUGUGUAUGAGGUUUGGAAGAGAACUUCCAAAGUCCAUGGAAAGUCCAUGGAAAAUGGAAUUAGAAGAAUAACUUCCUGCAGGUGCAAAAAAAGGUAUGGAAAUCUAUGCAUAGAGGGUCUUCCAAAAGCUCAUAGAAAAUGUAGAGUGUGGAAAAAUUAUGCAUGGGUUUCAAGAAUUUCCACAUCAAAAUCAACUUGUCUGUCAAUUCCAUUUUUCCAUGAACUUGGUGAGUUACCCUGGCAUUUGGGCAUUUUUGUAGCUUUCUCCAGAGGAUUCUGGACUUUCUCAGGAUAGGCAAGCCCUGUACAGGCUGAUACAGUACAGAGACAGAAACACAACUUAGGCUACCUCUCCAGAUCUGCAGACCAACCUCUCGCCUGUGGCAACAGUGUUGAAAACAUUUAUUUGCGAAGCAAAGAGACAGAGAGCUCCCACCCACUGCUUCACUCCCAAAUCCUACAAUGACCAGGGCUGGGCCAAGGCCAAAGCCAGAAGCCAGAAGCCAGGAGUUGGAGCUCCCACAUAGGUGGCGGAAACCCAACUACUUAAGCCAUCAGCGCUGCCUCCCAGGGUCUGCAUUGUCAGAAAGUGAGAGUCAGGAGCCAGAGUUGGGAAUUGAACCCAGGUACCCUGCUGUGGGACCUGUGCAUCUUAACCAUGAGGCUAAAUGCCAAUCCCACCUCCCCUCACACCACCACCACCAAGGACUUCAUUCUAUUAGAAAGACAUAAUUCAGACUGCUUUAACUGCUAGAAUUAGUCACCACCAGUGACUUUCCCCAAGCCCCUUGUUUAUCAAUGCCUGAUAACCAGAGACCCAGGCUGGGCUCCAGCAGGCCAGGCCCUGACGUCUUUACAACCCUCAACAGCCUUGGGGCUCUAAUUGGUUCCUUCUGAAAAGACCCAAGCCCUCCUUUCCUGUAAGGCAGAUUGCAAAACACAUUUGCACAAACUACAACUUUUUAUGAGGCAAUAAUGACCGCGUGCUAACAAUUGCAUGUGAAGACGGCAGAAACCAGAGGAAAGUCGGGGCCUUUCUUGUCGCUAACCAGACUUGGCGGGGAGCGCAGGGGUCUUCCCACAGCAGAUGCUGCUCGCCAGACGGGAUCCAGCCGCAUCCAGGGCUGCAGGCUUGGCUGCCUCGUCCCCUUCACACUUGUUCGCGGGACACAAUGUGUGAGGCCUUUUUAGAAUGGGAGCCGGGAGAGCACCAAAGGACAGCAGCAGGCAGGAGUGGGUGGCCCGGAUCCGCCAUCCGUCCUUGCUCCGGCUCCUGGUGUGACUGCAGACGGGUUAUUUGACCUCUCCACGUGCUGAGCUCCUCAUCUCUCCCACAAAAUGCCCAGAAGGAAAAGGAGAAGUAAGCACAAUCCUUGAGGAGCCCCCCGAGUGACAGGGUCCUUCCUUGGGAGACCAUGUGCAGCCCCUCGUUUAUCCUCAUGAAGGGACACUUGGUCAUGCCCAGGGGUACGUGAUCUUGGGGGGGCAUGGCCAGAAUCCAAAGCUGAGUCUCUUAGAACUCUGAAAGUCAGCUCUUCCCGGGACAUUUGAAUGGUUCUCAAAUUCUGUCCAUGACACAGCCCCAGCAAGAGAAAGAGUGAUCGCUUCUCUUAGCUUCCUAGAGCUGCCAUAACAGACUCCCACAUGCUGGAUGUCAUAAAAGACAGAAGAAGCUGAUUGUCGCCCAGCUCUGGAGGCCAGAAGUUCAGAAUCGGCACCCGCUCUCCAGAGCCUGUGCGAGCCGCUUAGACUUUGAACCUACAGCACUGUGAGGUGUGAAAGCACGGAGAAUUGGAGACCCCUGAGAGACAUUUAACUGCGUGUGAAGAAUAUCAACUGGGAGCUAAACAAAAAGGCAUGCAAAUUAAAUACAAACAGAAAUUCUGGAACACACCUGACCAAGCUCAGCAAGGAAACAGCACUUGCAGAGAGCGUGUAAAUGUGCCUUGAGUAAUAGAACUUACCAGCAGCACUAACCAUGGCCAUCCUGUUCUAUUAUUUCCUAAGAAAUAACAUUUUCAAAAGUGACAAAGGACUUUGCGACAAAGGCACAGCCACAGGAGUGAGAAUGACUCAAGUGGCAAAAAAGAACUCUCUGCGUGGUUAGCUUAUUGCCUCACUUGGUUCGUGACACAGAAACAGAUCGAGCCAUUGCGUUUCCACAUCACCAGGAUCCGCUGCCGGCUCAGCCAGGAUGCACUCACCAACCGCGACCCAGAAGAUGGACGGGGCACUAAAGACAGCCCCAGGCAUCUUGACUGCGAGGAGGAGAAAAGGCUUUUCCCUUUCAUUGGCUGAACACAUGGAGACCACUAUGUCCCCUCCUUUCCUCUGCCUCUGUUAGAGGAAAUGUGAACUUCUGGGGGCCGGCGCUGUGGUGUGGUGGGUAAGGAUCCACCGGCAGCACCAGCAUCCCAUGUUCGAGUCCUGGCUUCUCCUCCUUCGAUCCAGUUCCCUUCUGGUGGCCUGGGAAAGCAGCGGAAGAUGGCCCAAGUGCUUGGGCCCCUGCACCCAUCUGGGUGACCCAGAAGAAGCCUUGGAAACAUUGGAUCAGCUCAGCUCCAGCCGUUGUGGCCACCUGGGGAGUGAGCCAGCAGAUAGGAAACCUCUUUCUGUGUCUCCUCUCUGUGUAACUCUGCCUCUCAAGUAAAUAAAUAAAUCUUU